rnacentral:rRNA from 1 species
AUGGCCGCCAGGAAUUUCUUAGCCCGAUCCCCCAAGGAGGAGGAAUCCAGCGCUGCCGUCCGAGAGGCUGUCUUGUUGGGAGGGAAGAACGCCGCCAUUGCUGGUACUGUGGUCGCGGUUCCCACGUUGGUUGCUUGCCGUGUCCUUCCUUGGGCUAAGCAUAAUCUGAACUACACCGCACAAGCACUCAUCAUAUCGGCAGAACGAUGCAGCUGCCCUGAUACCGGGCCAGCCACUAGGGUGGCUCGAUCUUCACGAAUUGGAGGUCGAUUUGAGAAGCAACACAAGAAUCAAGGGCGAAAAAAGGGAAACCAAGAUGAAAAUCAUUCAAAGGACAAGAUCCACUCCAAUUACUCCUCAAAACGCAAGUCAAUCUAA